CCUACGGGUGGCAGCAGUCGAGAAUCAUUCACAAUGGGGGAAACCCUGAUGGUGCGACGCCGCGUGGGGGAAUGAAGUUCUUCGGAUUGUAAACCCCUGUCAUGUGGGAGCAAAUUAAAAAGAUCGUACCACAAGAGGAAGAGACGGCUAACUCUGUGCCAGCAGCCGCGGUAAUACAGAGGUCUCAAGCGUUGUUCGGAAUCACUGGGCGUAAAGCGUGCGGAGGCUGUUUAGUAAGUCGUGUGUGAAAGGCGCGGGCUCAACCCGCGGACGACACAUGAUACUGCGAGACUAGAGUAAGGGAGGGGGAACCGGAAUUCUCGGUGUAGCAGUGAAAUGCGUAGAUAUCGAGAGGAACACUCGUGGCGAAGGCGGGUUCCUGGACAGUAACUGACGCUGAGGCACGAAGGCCAGGGGAGCGAAAGGGAUUAGAUACCCUUGUAGUC
rnacentral:rRNA from 1 species